GCGUAUAUUAAAGUUGUUGCAGUUAAAAAGCUCGUAGUCGGAUGUCGGGCUCGGGCAAGCUGUCGGCCUUUGGUCGGACGGCAGGCUCGGGUCUUUCUGCCUGAGGAACCCGGUUGCUUUAACGAGCUGCCGGUGGACGCAGGUCGUUUACUUUGAAAAAAUUAGAGUGUUCAAAGCAGGCUAGCGCUUGAAUACAUUAGCAUGGAAUAAUGGAAUAGGACUUUGGUGCUAUUUUGUUGGUUUAUGGGACCGAAGUAAUGAUUAACAGGGACAGUUGGGGCCGUUUAUAUUUCGUUGUCAGAGGUGAAAUUCUUGGAUUUACGAAAGAUAAACUUCUGCGAAAGCAUUCGGCAAGGAUGUUUUCAUUGAUCAAGAACGAAAGUUAGGGGAUCGAAGACGAUCAGAUACCGUCGUAGUCUUAACCAUAAACUAUGCCGACUAGGGAUCAGUGGAUGUCAAUUUGCGACUCCAUUGGCACCUUGUGAGAAAUCAAAGUUUUUGGGUUCCGGGGGGAGUAUGGUCGCAAGGCUGAAACUUAAAGGAAUU
rnacentral:rRNA from 1 species